rnacentral:lncRNA from 1 species
AGGACGAUUGCAGGAAUCUGUCUCUUCUGUAUCCUCUCAUUCCAGCUCACAAAGACUCCUAGUCGUAUGUUUCCCGAUCGUCACAGGAUCCAUGCCUCGCCACAGCUGCUCAUUCAAUUUCCCAAAAUGGCCGCUCCCAUCUAUAGCCGGCGUUGUGACCUUUUACCCAGAUUCCAAACACAGAACAUCUGUAAAUCUCAGUGCAGCCCCCAGACGUAGUCAUGUACGAGGGGAUGGAAAGAGCGAUAAAGGGAGAAAGAAAGCAAGAAAAAAAACAGGAGUGGAGGUGGAGGCCGGUGAGAUGGAGGAGACACUUCAACUGAAGAGUGAAUGUGAAUGGGGCCUGUUCUGGGAAAAAUGUGGGUAACUGGCACACAGCCUCUUACUGUCAAGUGCUAAGCAGCUGGUGGCUUGGAGAAGGAAAAGGAAAGAGGGCUUGAGUUACAAAGUGUUCUUCUAGAACAGCAGGGGUUCUGACCCAUUACUGUACCACGGCAGCUGUGCGCUAUUUAGUAUUGACAUUUCAGCAGAAAUUAUACACUUAUGUCUCUUUUCUGUUCAGGACAAAAGACUGGAUGUUUGUUGGAAAAUGCCCACUCUCCAGACACCCUGUUGUGAAACGUAGAGUGUAAAGCACAAAGCUUUUUUUUUACUGCAGAGAUAGUUCUUAGUCCUGCCUCUGUUAUUUCUUUGGGUCAUUUAUUUAAAUUCCCCUCAUGUCAAAAAGGUGUUUUUCCUUUCCUUCAGCUGAAUGUUUGAGCCUCACUGUGUAUAAUGAUGUAUGGGCAGUAUGUGAGUUUGACACUAAUAAAUUGAAUAAUUAAAGUGUAAAUUGUCCCGGUGCAUUGAAUCUCAAAUUUUAAGAAGCUGGGGUACGAGCAUGAUUUUUAUGACAUCACAAAUAGUUUGGAGCCAAUCCUGGUCCAAUAGUUAGCAUACCAAAGCUUGAGCUGGAAGCUUGAAGCCUUUUGUGCACCUAUACUGAGACUGGACUUUACAAUGAAGUAGGACACAUCUCGUGUUAAACUUGUGCAAUUAACAUUUUUUCUUUUAAUUGAUCUUCUCAUUGGACGCUCAGGUACAGUGCAAACAAGUGUUGAUCCCAGAAUGUCAAACUAUUCUUUUAAGUUAGUGUUCUUUGGUGAAAGGUGUUAUAGUAUCUCUGGUUGCCGACUGAGACGAGAGCUUAACAGGGAGAACAAAAGGAGUUUGACAGAGAGUUUUUCUAAACCAAGACAUUUAAUGGGAAAGCCACCUAUACAGUUCGAGAAUGAUCAGUUGUCACAUUUAGCUAAUGACUUCUGACCAUCUGUUGUUUGUUGAGUCUCUAAUGAGCGCCCUGAUCCAC